rnacentral:rRNA from 1 species
AUUGAACGCUGGCGGCAGGCCUAACACAUGCAAGUCGAGCGAGUGGCGGACGGGUGAGUAAUGUCUGGGAAACUGCCUGAUGGAGGGGGAUAACUACUGGAAACGGUAGCUAAUACCGCAUACCAUCAGAUGUGCCCAGAUGGGAUUAGCUAGUGGGUGGGGUAACGGCUAACCUAGGCGACGAUCCCUAGCUGGUCUGAGAGGAUGACCAGCCACAUGGGAACUGAGACACGGUCCAGACUCCUACGGGAGGCAACAGUGGGGAAUAUUGCAAAAUGGGCGCAAGCCUGAUGCAGCCAUGCCGCGGGUGUGAGGAAGGCCUUCGGGUUGUAAAGCACUUUCAGCGGGGAGGCGUUACCCGCAGAAGAAGCACCGGCUAACUCCGUGCCAGCAGCCGCGGUAAUAC